CAACCCUCAAGCUCUGCUUGGUGUUGGGCCUGGCCCGUUGCGGCCGGUCCUAAAAUCAGUGGCGGUGCCGCCUGGCUCUAAGCGUAGUAAUGCUCUCGCUCUAGGGUCCGGCGGUCGCUGGCCAGAACCCCAACUUCUAUG
rnacentral:misc_RNA from 1 species